rnacentral:rRNA from 1 species
GACGAACGCUGGCGGCGUGCUUAACACAUGCAAGUCGAACGGAAAGGCCCUGCUUUUGUGGGGUGCUCGAGUGGCGAACGGGUGAGGAACACGUGAGUAACGUGACCUUGACUUUGGGAUAACUUAAGGAAACUGGGGCUAAUACCGGAUAGGAGCUCCUGCUGCAUGGUGGGGGUUGGAAAGUUUCGGCGGUUGGGGAUGGACUCGCGGCUUAUCAGCUUGUUGGUGGGGUAGUGGCUUACCAAGGCGUGGACGGGUAGCCGGCCUGAGAGGGUGACCGGCCACAUAGGGUCUGAGAGACGGCCCAAGCUCCGACUGGAGGCAGCAGUGGGGAAUAUUGCACAAUGGGCGGAGGCCUGAUGCAGCAACGCCGCGUGCUGGAUAGCGGCCUUCGGGUUGUAAACCGCUUUCGCCUGUGACGAAGCGUGAGUGACGGUAAUGGGUAGAGAAGCACCGGCUAACUACGUG